rnacentral:rRNA from 1 species
AGUGAACGCUGGCGGUAGGCCUAACACAUGCAAGUCGAACGGCAGCACAGUAAGAGCUUGCUCUUACGGGUGGCGAGUGGCGGACGGGUGAGGAAUACAUCGGAAUCUACUUUUUCGUGGGGGAUAACGUAGGGAAACUUACGCUAAUACCGCAUACGACCUACGGGUGAAAGCAGGGGAUCUUCGGACCUUGCGCGAUUGAAUGAGCCGAUGUCGGAUUAGCUAGUUGGCGGGGUAAAGGCCCACCAAGGCGACGAUCCGUAGCUGGUCUGAGAGGAUGAUCAGCCACACUGGAACUGAGACACGGUCCAGACUCCUACGGGGGGCAGCAGUGGGGAAUAUUGGACAAUGGGCGAAAGCCUGACCCAGCCAUACCGCGUGGGUGAAGAAGGCCUUCGGGUUGUAAAGCCCUUUUGUUGGGAAAGAAAAGCAGCAGGUUAAUACCCCGCUGUUCUGACGGUACCCAAAGAAUAAGCACCGGCUAACUUCGUG